rnacentral:rRNA from 1 species
UUGACGAACGCUGGCGGCGUGCCUAAUACAUGCAAGUAGAACGCUGAAGAGAGGAGCUUGCUCUUCUUGGAUGAGUUGCGAACGGGUGAGUAACGCGUAGGUAACCUGCCUUGUAGCGGGGGAUAACUAUUGGAAACGAUAGCUAAUACCGCAUAACAAUGGAUGACACAUGUCAUUUAUUUGAAAGGGGCAAAUGCUCCACUACAAGAUGGACCUGCGUUGUAUUAGCUAGUAGGUGAGGUAACGGCUCACCUAGGCGACGAUACAUAGCCGACCUGAGAGGGUGAUCGGCCACACUGGGACUGAGACACGGCCCAGACUCCUACGGGAGGCAGCAGUAGGGAAUCUUCGGCAAUGGGGGCAACCCUGACCGAGCAACGCCGCGUGAGUGAAGAAGGUUUUCGGAUCGUAAAGCUCUGUUGUAAGUCAAGAACGAGUGUGAGAGUGGAAAGUUCACACUGUGACGGUAGCUUACCAGAAAGGGACGGCUAACUACGUGCCAGCAGCCGCGGUAAUACGUAGGUCCCGAGCGUUGUCCGGAUUUAUUGGGCGUAAAGCGAGCGCAGGCGGUUUGAUAAGUCUGAAGUUAAAGGCUGUGGCUCAACCAUAGUUCGCUUUGGAAACUGUCAAACUUGAGUGCAGAAGGGGAGAGUGGAAUUCCAUGUGUAGCGGUGAAAUGCGUAGAUAUAUGGAGGAACACCGGUGGCGAAAGCGGCUCUCUGGUCUGUAACUGACGCUGAGGCUCGAAAGCGUGGGGAGCGAACAGGAUUAGAUACCCUGGUAGUCCACGCCGUAAACGAUGAGUGCUAGGUGUUGGAUCCUUUCCGGGAUUCAGUGCCGCAGCUAACGCAUUAAGCACUCCGCCUGGGGAGUACGACCGCAAGGUUGAAACUCAAAGGAAUUGACGGGGGCCCGCACAAGCGGUGGAGCAUGUGGUUUAAUUCGAAGCAACGCGAAGAACCUUACCAGGUCUUGACAUCCCGAUGCUAUUUCUAGAGAUAGAAAGUUACUUCGGUACAUCGGUGACAGGUGGUGCAUGGUUGUCGUCAGCUCGUGUCGUGAGAUGUUGGGUUAAGUCCCGCAACGAGCGCAACCCCUAUUGUUAGUUGCCAUCAUUCAGUUGGGCACUCUAGCGAGACUGCCGGUAAUAAACCGGAGGAAGGUGGGGAUGACGUCAAAUCAUCAUGCCCCUUAUGACCUGGGCUACACACGUGCUACAAUGGUUGGUACAACGAGUUGCGAGUCGGUGACGGCAAGCUAAUCUCUUAAAGCCAAUCUCAGUUCGGAUUGUAGGCUGCAACUCGCCUACAUGAAGUCGGAAUCGCUAGUAAUCGCGGAUCAGCACGCCGCGGUGAAUACGUUCCCGGGCCUUGUACACACCGCCCGUCACGCCACGAGAGUUUGUAACACCCGAAGUCGGUGAGGUAACCUUUUGGAGCCAGCCGCCUAAGGUGG